CCUACGGGAGGCUGCAGUGGGGGAUAUUGCACAAUGGGGGGAACCCUGAUGCAGCGCCGCCGCGUGGGUGAAGAAGCGCCUCGGCGCGUAAAGCCCUGUCAGCAGGGAAGAAAAUGACGGUACCUGAAGAAGAAGCCCCGGCUAACUACGUGCCAGCAGCCGCGGUAAUACGUAGGGGGCAAGCGUUAUCCGGAUUUACGGGGUGGAAAGGGGGCGCAGACGGCGCUGGAAGCCAGGAGUGAAAGCCCGGGGCCCAACCCCGGGACUGCUCUUGGAACUGCGUGGCUGGAGUGCAGGAGGGGCAGGCGGAAUUCCUGGUGUAGCGGUGAAAUGCGUAGAUAUCAGGAGGAACACCGGUGGCGAAGGCGGCCUGCUGGACUGCAACUGACGUUGAGGCCCGAAAGCGUGGGGAGCAAACAGGAUUAGAUACCCCAGUAGUC
rnacentral:rRNA from 1 species